rnacentral:rRNA from 1 species
CAUUUGGAGUAAGACCCCAUGUAGAUUACAUGGUUGAUAGGUCAGAAGUGUAAGCGCAGCAAUGUGUGUAGCUGACUGAUACUAAUAGGUCGAGGACUUAUUUUU